ensembl:rRNA 5S_rRNA 5S ribosomal RNA
GUCUAUGGCUAUGCUACUGAGAACAAGCCUGAACCAGUCUGAUCUCAGAAGCUAAGCAGGGUAGGGCCUGAUUAGUACUUGGCUGGGAGACCACCUAGGAAGACCAGGUGUUGUAGGCG